rnacentral:lncRNA from 1 species
CGUAGUAGAGCCAUAGUAGAGUAAAGCACGUGUCGUAAAACCUUGUUGUCACAGUUUCUCCAUGGCUAUUUUAUUGUUUUUAUUGGAUGUUUUGAUUUUGUAUUUUUUGGAUUCGAUUUUCUUAGUGUGUAGUGUCGGUUUAGUGUUUAUUUUGAUUACUUUUUAUUUAAAAACUAUAAAACAUGGUUCGUCAGUGCCAAAUUUGUAAGAAAUUGGACUAUUUAAGUCCUGGAACAACAUUCCACAGAUUAUGCUGCCAAAGUUUCCUGAAUACAAUUCCGACCACUCUGUAUAUCAAGAUAUCCCCCAUUACGUACUAGUUUUUCUUAAUAAUUUUCUAUACAUUUUCCAACGCCAAGAUGUACCAAGCGCAUACAAAUACAUCAAGCUUCAAACAAGCUUGCACGUUGACAGUAAUACCUACAGUAAUAUUGUAUUAUAUUAAUGUAAUAUUUUUGAACCAAUGUUCAAUAUUACUGUAGUAAUACUGUUUAUACUCAUGCCUUUUAUAUUUGUUUGAAUUUGGUGCAUAUUUCCAUUGAAUAAAGUAUAGUCACCAUUACCAUUAUUAUACUUACUCUAUAAUAAAGACAGUAACGAGUUAAA